rnacentral:rRNA from 3 species
CACACGACUCUCGGCAACGGAUAUCUCGGCUCUCGCAUCGAUGAAGAACGUAGCGAAAUGCGAUACCUGGUGUGAAUUGCAGAAUCCCGCGAAUCAUCGAGUCUUUGAACGCAAGUUGCGCCCGAGGCCACUCGGCCGAGGGCACGCCUGCCUGGGCGUCACGC